rnacentral:rRNA from 1 species
GCAAGUCGAACGGAAACAUGUCUAGCUUGCUAGAUGAUGUCGAGUGGCGGACGGGUGAGUAAUGCCUGGGAAUUUGCCUUUGUGUGGGGGAUAACUAUUGGAAACGAUAGCUAAUACCGCAUAACACCUACGGGUCAAAGGGGGCUUCGGCUCCCGCGCAAAGAGAAGCCCAGGUGAGAUUAGCUAGUUGGUGAGGUAAAGGCUCACCAAGGCGACGAUCAGUAUCUGGUUUGAGAGGACGAUC